rnacentral:piRNA from 1 species
UGAAAGUUCUUGAUAUUUUUGGUGUC